CCGUUCUGAACCCAAACCAAGCCCAGGUGUCUGCCACCAGCCCACGUGCCUGUCACCAACCCCGUUCUCCAAUUGAAGACCCCAAACCCACGUCCCCACCUCCAUUCCAGUUGCCAGCUGGAAGACCCCAAACUCACCAGCUCUGCUCUGAACCAGAAGAUCCCAGACCCAGACCCCACCAUGAACCAUGUCCAACCCUUCUCUCGACUGGAAGACCCUGAACCCACAUCUCCAGAACUAGAAGACCCCAAGGACACGUACCAAGCAACGACCCCGCUCUGAACCCAAGACCCCCAACCCAACCUAAAAACCCCAGUUCAGCCAACUUGACACAACCAACCCAACCAAACCCAACUCAACCCAACGCAAUCCACCCCAAACCACCCCAACCAACCCAAAAGACCUCAAACCAUACAACCCAAAUCAACCCAAACCAACUCAACCCAACACAACUCAACCCAAACCAUCCCAACCCAACACAACACAACGCAACCCAACACAACUCAACCCAAAGCAAUACACCCCAAACCAUCCCAACCAACCCAAAAGACCUCAAACCAUACAACCCAACUCAACCCAACACAACUGAACGCAACCCAACACAACACAACUCAACCCAAAGCAAUCCACCCCAAACCACCCCAACCAACACAAAAGACCUCAAACUGUACAACCCAAAUCAACCCAACACAACACAACGCAACCCAACAUAACUCAACCCAAACCAUCCCAACCCAAAUCAACCCAACACAACCCAACCCAAUCCAACCCAACCCAACCCAACACAACCACCCCAAACCACCCCAACCAACCCAAAAGACCUCAAACCAUACAACCCAACUCAACCCAACCCAACCCAACCCAACCCAACUCAACCCAACACAACCACCCCAAACCACCCCAACCAACCCAAAAGACCACAAACUGUACAACCCAAAUCAACACAACCCAACACAUAUCAACUCAACCCAACACAACUCAACCCAAGCCAACCACCCCAAACCACCCCACCCCAACAAAUGCAAAAUACCCCAAACCAACCAUCCCUACCCAACCAACCCAAUCCAAUCUGCCCCAACCAUCCCUGACCCUCUACCUCUUCCUGCUCUUCCUCCG
rnacentral:lncRNA from 1 species